rnacentral:lncRNA from 1 species
CACAUAAAACACACAUUUCCAUAAAAAUAUUUAUUUUAUUUAUUAAAUAUUAAUAAUUCUUAUUAUAAGGAUGUCACAUUCUCGAUCAUUACAAAUGUAUAGAGUUUUAAUGUAGAAUAAAGCACAACAAACCAGAAAAUCAGCAAACCAUAAACACUAAGAUUUUUACGUGGUUCGACCCCUACCUUUUUAUCUAGUGGCCUAAUACACUUCUAAUAUUAACUGGUAUUCGAGAUUCCUUUAUUAAUAAAUUAUUCAAUUAAAUCCUUGUACAAAUAAGCUCAGAACUUUGUUGGACACAACUGCCUCCUUUGCAAAACUUCAUCUUCUUGCACCUCUGCAACUGCUUUCACCACUGCAUCCUUAAAGCUUCCUUUAUACAGACCUGUCGACCAAUCGAUCAAUCACAAACCAAUCUUGGUUUGUAUACAAGUUUUAAUCAAGAACGAAUAUGAUUAUAAGAUAUAUCUAUGAAUUUCCAACAACAAGAAAUUAAGAACAAGUCAAAAAUAAUUUGCUACAAACUUUUCUGUGAAGCACUCUUAUUUUUCUGAAUUCCUUGUUUUGAAACUUUAGCCGAGAAGGAUAUAUAAAGAGAUUAAUACCAACGACAAAGAGAAACAAAUUACUAAAUUUUAGCAAUCCGAAUAGAAGAUAGUAUCAAACUGUUACGGAAGGGAUUUGAAUUUAAAAAAUAAACACCUUGAAAUAAAGGAUAAGAUCUUAGCAAAAUCAACUCAAUUAGCUUUAUGGGAAAGAUCUUUGUUUUGAUAAAUGCUUUGGAAAUCAUGGCUAAACAUAUGCACAAUUGAUUUUGUUUCAAAAUUAAUAUAACUUCUUAAUGGAUUUGAAUUUUAAGCGCACGGACACUUUUUAGAAGAAUUUUCCAGCAAAAUAAAAAUGCAUUGUAAUUAAUAACCCAGUCUAGAAAUUCUUACAUGGUUUUUCUAGGUGAUUUCCUAGAGACCUAAUCUAGUAAUGUCUAUAAGAAAUUUUCUCCAGGACGGGUCUCUUAAAAUUUCAAACUAAUUUAGCAAUCAUUAUGAUCAGCCCAAGUCAAAACCUGAAAAGCAUAAAACAACUCCAUAUAAGAUAUGUUGUUGUCAUUAUAAUCAAAAUAUAUAAAUAAACAAAAUAUACGACCAAAAACAUUGUAAACAAAAAGGUCAAAUACCCCGACAAAAUAGCCACAUACAUAAAUCUCCAAUCAUCAUCAAAGGAUCAUGGACAACAAAAGAAUCGAAUUACCUUGGCAGAAUUAGUUCCGAUCACAAGAUCAGAAUGACUGUCAUUAGAGUUGUCUUGAUUCGAGUAAUCCUCAUAGAAACAGAGAAUGUCAUUGGUAGAAAAUUCAUAUCCUUUCGAACCUAGAUUAUUCUGACCCACCGACGAUUCAAAUGUAAUACUACUAACUAAUAAUAGCUCAGCUAAACUGAUCGAAUAACACAGAGAGGGAAACUAAAAACUAGGGUUUGCAGAAAGUAUAUAGAGAGAACGAGUUGAAUUUUCUCCUCAAAUUUUCUACAAAAAAGAAGUUUCGUAGUUGAUGUAUCUUUAAUCGAGUAAAAUAGUGUCGUGACAGUGAAAUCUUCUCGUGUGAACUCUGAGAGGGAAAAUCUGUGUCUAAGAAAUUUGAGAGAAUGGACAAGUGAUAUAUUGUAGGGCUUAGUGAGAAAGGAGAUGAAAUUUGAGAUUUAGUAGAGCGAGAGACGAGAGUCAGAACUAAUUUGUAGUGUUUUGAUUUGGGAUUUUGGGAAAAAAUUGAAAGGGCGGGGAUUCGUACGCCAACAAUAUUGGGGAAAACUUGUUCUAGAACGAGGACAAAAACAGGACCUUAUAC